rnacentral:rRNA from 1 species
AGCCAAACUCUAGCCCGACCAACCACUAAUCAAAAACAGCCAAAAAUUAACUCCCGUCAAAAACCAAAACAUUCACCCAAGCCCCAGUAUAGGCGAUAGAAAAGGCCCAAACUUCAACCGGCGCCAUAGAAAGCAGUACCGCAAGGGAAAGAUGAAACAGCAAUGAAAACCUGAGCUACAAACAGCAGAGAUUAACCCUUGUACCUCUUGCAUCAUGAUUUAGCAAGAACAACCAAGCAAAACGAAUUUAAGCUUGCCCCCCCGAAACCCAAGUGAGCUACUUGCAAGCAGCUAUUCGAGCAAACCCGUCUCUGUCGCAAAAGAGUGGGACGACUUGCCAGUAGAGGUGAAAAGCCAACCGAACUGGGUGAUAGCUGGUUGCCUGUGAAACGAAUCUAAGUUCCCUCUUGACUACUUCUCCCAGGACACCCAACCCAAACCCCCUUACGUAACUAGUCAAGAGCAAUUUAAAGGAGGUACAGCUCCUUUAAAACAGAAUACAAUCUCCCCCAGCGGAUAUCCCACCCUCCCACACAGAUCCUGUAGGCCUUAAAGCAGCCACCAACAAAGAGUGCGUCAAAGCUCAACACAGUAAAUCCAAGAACAAUGCAACUCCCUCCCCGCCAACAGGCCGACCUAUAACCAUAGGUGAAUUAAUGCUAAAAUAAGUAACUACGGGCCACCCCUCUCAAGCGCGAACUUACACUCUAAUUAACAGACACGAUACACAAACUACUACAAGACCUAGUAUCAAACAACAACUGUUACUUCCAACCCAGGUGCGCUCACUAGAAAGAUUUAAACCUGUAGAAGGAACUAGGCAAACCCAAGGCCCGACUGUUUACCAAAAACAUAGCCUUCAGCAAGUCAAGUAUUGAAGGUGAUGCCUGCCCAGUGACACCACGUUCAACGGCCGCGGUAUCCUAACCGUGCGAAGGUAGCGCAAUCAAUUGUCUCAUAAAUCGAGACUUGUAUGAACGGCUAAACGAGGUCUUAACUGUCUCCUACAGAUAAUCAGUGAAAUUGAUCUCCCUGUGCAAAAGCACGGAUACACCCAUAAGACGAGAAGACCCUGUGGAACUUAAAAACCUAAAGCCACUCCCCAAACAAUCACCCACCUACCAGGCCCAUCUCACUUUCCCCCUGGCUUACGUUUUUCGGUUGGGGCGACCUUGGAGAAAAACAAAUCCUCCAAAAACAAGACCACCCCUCUUAACCAAGAGCAACCCCUCAACGUGCUAACAGCAACCAGACCCAAUAUAAUUGAUCAAUGGACCAAGCUACCCCAGGGAUAACAGCGCAAUCCCCCUCAAGAGCCCAUAUCGACAGGGGGGUUUACGACCUCGAUGUUGGAUCAGGACAUCCUAAUGGUGCAGCCGCUAUUAAGGGUUCGUUUGUUCAACGAUUAACAGUCCUACGUGAUCUGAGUUCAGACCGGAGCAAUCCAGGUCGGUUUCUAUCUAUGACAGGACUCUUCCCAGUACGAAAGGACCGGAAAAGCGGGGCCCAUGCUACAAGUAUGCCCCCUCAACAAGCAAUGAAAUCAACUAAAUUGCCAAACUGACCUACCAACUACACCCCUAGAAAAGGGGACACG